AACGAACGCUGGCGGCAUGCCUAACACAUGCAAGUCGAACGAGACCUUCGGGUCUAGUGGCGCACGGGUGCGUAACGCGUGGGAACCUGCCCUUAGGUUCGGAAUAACUCCCCGAAAGGGGUGCUAAUACCGGAUAAUGUCUUCGGACCAAAGAUUUAUCGCCUUUGGAUGGGCCCGCGUUGGAUUAGCUAAUUGGUAGGGUAAAAGCCUACCAAGGCGACGAUCCAUAGCUGGUCUGAGAGGAUGAUCAGCCACACUGGGACUGAGACACGGCCCAGACUCCUACGGGAGGCAGCAGUGGGGAAUAUUGGACAAUGGGCGAAAGCCUGAUCCAGCAAUGCUGCGUGAGUGAUGAAGGCCUUAGGGUUGUAAAGCUCUUUUACCCGGGAUGAUAAUGACAGUACCGGGAGAAUAAGCUCCGGCUAACUCCGUG
rnacentral:rRNA from 1 species